UAGUAUUAUGUAAAGUACUGACAGUUUGUGUGGAAAGUUCAGAUCUUCCCCAUUUGCUAUUGCUCAAAUACAUUUUAUGGACCAGUUAUUCUCGUCAGUUUCAUUCACCAUGGCGAUGCUCAGCGUAACAGUGCUCACCAUCUUGUGGCUUGGGCAGUCAGCCAGGGUGGUUUGGACUCAGGGCCCUCUUCCAGCCCCCUCGCUCUCUUUCUACCGCCCCCGUUUUGGCAGCAACAUCCAACUUUUCUCAGACGUGGAGCUGAUCUGCACACUUCCGACAAACGUUAGAUUGCCAAUAACUGUCUCUUUUAGCUGGGACAACCAAUCCCUCUCUGCAAUACAUUCCCUCACUAUACAAAACAGAGAUGAUGUCAGGUUCACCACGAAAGCCAUUGCAGCCAAUGAGGGGAUCUACGUAUGCUGGUACAAUGCCAGCAAUACUGGAGACGUGUCGGGGGAAAGCAAUCCAGUCAACCUUACCAUCUCCUCUCUUCCAGGGCCAAUUUUGGUGGUGCCCGCCUUCAUACCCAUCGGAGGAAACUACACCAUCAGCUGCCAAACUACCACCCGCUUCCCCAACAGAACCCUGGCCCUUUACUACAGACAGCUGCCUGUUACUGCGGGAAACGAGAUCUUUAAGUUUAUGGGGUCAGCGGCUCUUCUUGACAGCCACGAUUCCAUCACACUGACCAGGUGGCUAGUGGACAGCACAGAAAACUUCGAGGGUGUCUGCAGACUAGAGAUUGUGGACUUCAACCAGCAUAUUUACCUCUCUCCUCCUUCCAGUUCCCUCCCAGCUAUUGCAGAGGAGGCGCCUAUCCGUCUUGUGCCCCAGUAUCAGGGCUCCAAGUGCCUGGGACAACUGGAGGUGCAGGUCAGAGGCAGCUGGGGCCCUGUGUGCCAACAGAUAGAAAGCUGGAACCGGGCAAUGGGUAUCGUGGUUUGUCGAGAGCUGGGCUGUGGGACACUAUCUUCCGUCUCGACGAAGCAAGACUACAACCAUAAGGUUGACUUCUCCAUCGGUUCCAUAUUGUGCAGAGGAAGCGAGGGACGACUCAGGGAGUGUCAGAUUGAUGCGGUGCAGCCCCUUUGUAACUCAAGGAAGGGGGUGAAAAUGGUUUGCUCAGAUGCUCUGCCAACUACUAAGAUCUCAGUCACAGGCUACAGAGAGGUAUCGAGAGUCGACAUCAGUGAUGAGCACUCGUUGGAAUUGUCCUGCAUGUUCAAUGCCCCUUGGUUUGGUACGGAAAAGCUUUUCAUGGACUUGACGAGGGUCUCCAUAGAUUCGUACAUUAACACAAUCGACAACGUGCAAAUCGCCUCAGGAGAGGAGAUGAGGACCAUGCUUCAUGCGCCUGUCUUAUCAGGAGAGUAUGCCUGUAGAAUUAGAGGGUCUGAACAGACUGUGUCCUCAGUGAAGAUCUUCGUGAGCAAAUGGUACAAACCAAAUGUUGGACUCAUCAUCACGGCUCUCCUCACAACCGUAUCUGGAGCAGCCAUAUUACUGUAUAUGUGUGUCUAUCGUGUCCAGAAGGGGGAGACAGCAAAUGCUGUCACUUCUCAAGGGGUGUCCACAGCUGACCCAGAGGCCUCACCAGGAAUGGAUAGAGUGUCUAGAAACAUGCAGGAAGCCCCGCACGAAAAUCUCCAUACAAUCCCUAUGCAGUAA
rnacentral:lncRNA from 1 species